GCCUCCGUAGCUCAGCUGGAUAGAGCAAGAGCCUUCUAAUCUCUAGGUCACCGGUUCGAAUCCGGUCGGGGGCA
rnacentral:tRNA from 2 species